UACGAAGGGGGCUAGCGUUGUUCGGAAUUACUGGGCGUAAAGCGCACGUAGGCGGAUUUGUAAGUCAGGGGUGAAAUCCCGGGGCUCAACCCCGGAACUGCCUUUGAUACUGGGUAUCUCGAGUCCGAGAGAGGUGAGUGGAAUUCCGAGUGUAGAGGUGAAAUUCGUAGAUAUUCGGAGGAACACCAGUGGCGAAGGCGGCUCACUGGCUCGGUACUGACGCUGAGGUGCGAAAGCGUGGGGAGCAAACAGG
rnacentral:rRNA from 1 species